rnacentral:tRNA from 1 species
GGUGAGAUGGCCGAGUGGUUAUGGCGCUGCGUUCAGGUCUACCUGAAUAGAAAAUCGCAGUGGAGCAAUCCGCGUGGGUUCGAGUCCCACUCUCAUCA